GUAGGAGUUCAGUCCUCUCCACCAGUUUUCUGAAGGAAGGCCUUUUGAGUGGAUCGUGGCUCCAGCAGGACAGCAUCAUGUCAUACCUACAGGAGAAACAGAAAGAGAGCAAACCAAAAAAAAAAAGGGAAAAGUAAAGGAUCAAAGGACGAGGGGGAGCAGCAGGAGGGAGAGACAGACUGACAGACAGACUCACGUUUCCUCGGAGCACAUAGCUGGCGUCGGUGGUGAUGUCCCGAGCCAAGCCGAAGUCACAGAUCUUCGCCACCCUGCCGCGGUGGGAGCCUGGUUCAAAACCAUCCGAGGGAAGUUUGGCUCUCGAUGCAAACCGAGGGUCAUUUGAACAAGCAGAAGAUUUCAAACUAAACCCGAGGCUGUUGUGUGACUAAACACACAAAGCUUCCAUGGCUGCAUGGGUAGCAGCUAGAUGUCAGGGUGCGUUUCCCUCAUCUUUUUAUUUUCUUCUUCUUUUUUUUUUUCUUGCCUGGCAACACGCACAACCGAAUCCCUUUGAAUUUGGCUGGAAUAAAUAAUUGAACGCGCACACACACACACACACACACACACACACACACACAGACACACACACCUGUUGCCCGCUGCUGCUGGGAGAGGCCCCGCAUCGACAAGCAGAGGUUAUGCAAAUGAGGCCGGAUACGACCUGUGUGGAUGUGAGGAGCUGACGAGGCUGAACCAUUAAGCAACUCUUUGAGAAAACGUCAACCACGUUUCCAGAAAACAAUGUGGGGACAGUCUAAAGACGAAACACGCACCGGGAGCCGCGCUUAAACAUGCGCAAUGCUAUAUAUGCUGUUUUGUUUUUUUCCUUCUUAGUCUUCUUGCUCCAAAAACAAAAGGAGCCGAACUUAUAUAUUUUAAUAUCAGGAGCGCAGUCCGUGCGUAAAAAUUAAAGAAAUAAAUAAUCAGCGGAAUAAUCAAAUGAUAAUGAGAGUAGUCUGUUACAACAGUAUGGAGAAUAAAGUCCAAAUUGAGGCGCACAAGUUGUAAUUAAAA